GGUGGAUUAGUGAAUGAUUGAUUCCUCCUCUGGAAUGUCACAUCUAUUUGCUCUUUUUCCAGUGGCAUUCUGAUAUGCAGGUGGAGCCCAUCUUCUGUCCCUGCUAGAACUGAGAUGUCCUAGGAAGGUGACUUGAGCCCAGAAAAUGUCCUCUACACCUACAUAGAAAGUUUGGCCUUUUACAGAAGAAGAAACAUGUCAUCAGCUAUAACCAGGAGAAAGGAAAAAAAAUAGAGGUAAGUUAAAACUUUCUGAAGAUUUAGUGAGGAACUGAGAGGGUUUUGGCUAAUAGAUUCUAUUUCCUUUCCAUUUCCAUUAUUAAAUUAAAAUUAUUACAAAACAGUUCUACAAUACUCA
rnacentral:lncRNA from 12 species